CAGUAGCCGCGGUAAUACGAAGGUCCCGAGCGUUGUUCGGAAUCACUGGGCGUAAAGGGAGCGUAGGCGGCGUGGUAAGUCAGAUGUGAAAUCCCGGGGCUCAACCCCGGAACUGCAUCCGAUACUGCCAUGCUAGAGGAAUGGAGAGGUAGCUGGAAUUCUUGGUGUAGCAGUGAAAUGCGUGGAGAUCAAGAGGAACACUCGUGGCGAAAGCGAGCUACUGGACAAUAACUGACGCUGAGGCUCGAAGGCCAGGGUAGCGAAAGGGAUUAGAUACCCCUGUAGUCCCUGUCUCUUAUAC
rnacentral:rRNA from 1 species